rnacentral:rRNA from 1 species
AACGCUAGCUACAGGCUUAACACAUGCAAGUCGCGGGGCAGCAUGAAUUUAGCUUGCUAAAUUUGAUGGCGACCGGCGCACGGGUGAGUAACACGUAUCCAACCUGCCUCCAGCCCGGGGAUAGCCUUCCGAAAGGAAGAUUAAUACCCGAUGGCAUCUGCCUUCCGCAUGGUCGGCAGAUUAAAGAUUUAUCAGCUGGAGAUGGGGAUGCGUUCCAUUAGGCAGUCGGCGGGGUAACGGCCCACCGAACCGACGAUGGAUAGGGGUUCUGAGAGGAAGGUCCCCCACAUUGGAACUGAGACACGGUCCAAACUCCUACGGGAGGCAGCAGUGAGGAAUAUUGGUCAAUGGCCGAGAGGCUGAACCAGCCAAGUAGCGUGAAGGAUGACUGCCCUACGGGUUGUAAACUUCUUUUAUACGGGAAUAAAGUCCGCUACGAGUAGCGGUUUGUAUGUACCGUACGAAUAAGCAUCGGCUAAUUCCGUGCCAGCAGCCGCGGUAAUACGGAAGAUGCGAGCGUUAUCCGGAUUUAUUGGGUUUAAAGGGAGCGUAGGCGGGAUGUUAAGUCAGUUGUGAAAGUUUGCGGCUCAACCGUAAAAUUGCAGUUGAUACUGGCGUCCUUGAGUGCGGCAGAGGAAGGCGGAAUUCGUGGUGUAGCGGUGAAAUGCUUAGAUAUCACGAAGAACUCCGAUUG